rnacentral:rRNA from 1 species
GACGAACCGUGCGAACGUUGUUCGGAAUCACUGGGCUUAAAGGGCGCGUAGGCGGUCGGGCAAGUCCGGGGUGAAAUCCUGCAGCUCAACUGUAGAAGUGCCUUGGAUACUGCCCGGCUCGAGGGAGGUAGGGGUCAUUGGAACUUCUGGUGGAGCGGUGAAAUGCGUUGAUAUCAGAAGGAACGCCGGUGGCGAAAGCGAAUGACUGGACCUCUUCUAACGCUGAGGCGCGAAAGCUAGGGGAGCAAACGGG